GACCCUAUAGAGUUUAAUAUUUAAUAGAAUAUAUUUUUUUUAGAAUUUGUAGGUUAUAUUUUUUUGAAUAUUUAAUUGGGGUGAUUAAAAAAUUAAAUAAACUUUUUUUGUAUAAAAACAUUGAUUUAUGAUUAUUUGAUCCAUUAAUAGUGAUUAUAAGAUUAAAUUACCUUAGGGAUAACAGCGUAAUUUUUUUUAAGAGUUCUAAUCGAAAAAAAAGAUUGCGACCUCGAUGUUGGAUUAAAAUUAUAUUUGGUGUAGAAGCUAAAUUAAUUGGGUCUGUUCGACCCUUAAAAUUUUACAUGAUCUGA
rnacentral:rRNA from 1 species